UACGACUACAUAUCAGGCAUAUCAAUAAGCGGAGGAAAAGAAACUAACAAGGAUUCCCUAGUAACGGCGAGUGAAGCGGGAAGAGCUCAAAUUUGAAAUCUUAAAGGGUUUCCCUUGACGAAUUGUAGUUUAAAGAAGUGUUUUCUGUUGAAGUUUCGGUAAAAGUUCUUUGGAAUAGGACAUCAUAGAGGGUGAGAAUCCCGUAUUUGACCGUUACUUUCCAGCUGUGUGAUACACUUUCAAAGAGUCGGAUUGUUUGGGAAUGCAGUCCAAAAUGGGUGGUAAAUUUCAUCUAAAGCUAAAUAUUGGCGAGAGACCAAUAGCGAACAAGUACCGUGAGGGAAAGAUGAAAAGAACUUUGAAAAGAGAGUUAAACAGUACGUGAAAUUGUCAAAAGGGAAGCGUUUGACACCAGUGUUGUUUAGUUGAAAAUCAAUUCAAUAGUUUUUGAUUCUAAGUAGUAUUGACUUCAUCAGCUUGCUGCUUUCUUCUCAGGAAAUUAUUGAAUGCACUUUUCAGUUAACAAGUCAACAUCAAUUUCUUUUGUUGUAAAAGGGUAAGAGGAAGGUGGCUUGCGCUUCGGCUCAAGUGUUUAUAGCCUUUUAUCUCUGCAAUCGGAGAGAUUGAGGUCUGCAGCGUAGAUCCUUCGGGGUUAGAUACAUUGGUGCUAAGCUAUAGCCUUGUAUAGACAACUUGUUGACUAUGCUCAGUCAUGUAGCUUACUCGCUUGUAGUAUUUUACCUACGCUUAGGAUGUUGAUCUCUCACAGUCGAG
rnacentral:rRNA from 1 species